rnacentral:lncRNA from 1 species
GGAGAAGGGUUUUGCUGGCUGGAGGAGGAUUUUUUUGGGCACCCACCCGUGUUGGGUGCACAGGUCCUGGCUUCAUCCUGUGUGACUCCACCAAGCAGAUGGCUGGGAUAAUGGCUACAUCCAGUUGUUGGAGCCACGUGGGACAGCCAAUGUUUCCCUCUGGUCCCGAUUGCUGCUGUGCCAGCCCCAUGUUUGCAUCCCAUAUUGAGCUGUUCUGUUCCAAGGUGUGUGUGCAGCAUCUUGGCUUUGCUUUGGCCAGCGUGGAUAGGAGAUUUCAUCCUGUUUUGUGUUGUUUUGCUCUUCUCCACAUAAGUACAACUCAGGGGCCUUUGCUGUCCAUCACACAAUGCUGGUUUUGCUCAGCUGUGAGUGGCUUUGGGCGCCUCUGAGGGUGUCAAUAUCCUGUGUGUUUAAUGCUUCAGUGCAGCGAGUCCAGAAGCUUGUGAUACCUAUUUUUAGUGCUGAAAAGUUUUGACAGCUCCAGUGAAGCUCCAUUAUCCAUCCCUUGACAGCCUCGUCAGCAGCGUGCAGCUUGUCACUCUCGCUCAGAGCUGCUUUUCCCAGUGAAAUUCAAACUAUUGGCAGGGAUGGGGUGCAAGUGUGUCAGAACUCAGCGUGGAAAUGACAGCAGCUACUGCCUAGUUUAAAAAAAUAUGUGAGAGGAGGUGUUUG